UACGUAGGGGGCGAGCGUUGUCCGGAUUUAUUGGGCGUAAAGGGCCCGCAGGCGGUCCGCCAAGUUUGGGGUGAAAGCUCCUCGCUUAACGAGGAGAGAGCCGCAAAAAACUGGUGGACUUGAGAGCGAGAGAGGGACACGGAACUCCGGGUGAAGCAGUGAAAUGCGUAGAUAUCCGGAAGAACACCAAAGGCGAAGGCAGUGUCCUGGCUCGUAUCUGACGCUCAGGGGCGAAAGCCAGGGGGAGCGAACGGG
rnacentral:rRNA from 1 species